CAAACUGGAGAUGGCGACCGGCGCACGGGUGAGUAACACGUAUCCAACCUGCCGAUGACUCGGGGAUAGCCUUUCGAAAGAAAGAUUAAUACCCGAUGGCAUAGUUCUUCCGCAUGGUAGAACUAUUAAAGAAUUUCGGUAAUCGAUGGGGAUGCGUUCCAUUAGGUUGUUGGCGGGGUAACGGCCCACCAAGCCUUCGAUGGAUAGGGGUUCUAAGAGGAAGGUCCCCCACAUUGGAACUGAGACACGGUCCAAACUCCUACGGGAGGCAGCAUG
rnacentral:rRNA from 1 species